GAUGAACGCUGGCGGCGUGCCUAAUACAUGCAAGUCGAGCGAACGGACGAGAAGCUUGCUUCUCUGAUGUUAGCGGCGGACGGGUGAGUAACACGUGGAUAACCUACCUAUAAGACUGGGAUAACUUCGGGAAACCGGAGCUAAUACCGGAUGAUAUUUUGAACCGCAUGGUUCAAAAGUGAAAGACGGUCUUGCUGUCACUUAUAGAUGGAUCCGCGCUGCAUUAGCUAGUUGGUAAGGUAACGGCUUACCAAGGCAACGAUGCAUAGCCGACCUGAGAGGGUGAUCGGCCACACUGGAACUGAGACACGGUCCAGACUCCUACGGGAGGCAGCAGUAGGGAAUCUUCCGCAAUGGGCGAAAGCCUGACGGAGCAACGCCGCGUGAGUCAUGAAGGUCUUCGGAUCGUAAAACUCUGUUAUUAGGGAAGAACAUAUGUGUAAGUAACUGUGCACAUCUUGACGGUACCUAAUCAGAAAGCCACGGCUAACUACGUG
rnacentral:rRNA from 1 species